UCAAUAAUUUCACCUGUAAAAGGAAACCACUUGUGUCUGGACUCGCUGCACGGGAAUUACAAGCAGUCUCCAUGAUUUAUUUUAUGUUUCAAAUGUUAAGCGUAAUAUUCUUCAUAUGUGUUCUGUCAUCAGAAGAAUGCUGAUGUUAAAAUGACCAAAAACACCAUUUUCAUCUAAAUGUGUCUUAAAAUCUUAAAAAUGAAACUCCAGAUCUCAAAUAUUUGACUUUCAACAUUUCAUUAAAGAAAAAUUCUAUAAUUUUAUAGGAAAAAAAAUGUGUUUUGACUCUUUCAGCUGCCAAAAAUUCACUUCUGUGACUUAAUUUGUUCCUUCAUGCUAAUAUUUUACUCUAAACUUGCUUCAUAACUCAAAGAAAACUUUUCAUCUUUCAUCCUAAUUUCUGUUACCUUGUAAUUAUUUGAGAAAUGGCUUUUAGUCUUUAUUUUGUAUCUGCAAUAAACUUUUUUGUUUAAUUAUCGUAGGAUGACUGAGAUGAAGACCCCCCCCAAGACAAUUUAUCGAGGUUUUAGACUAAAAACAAAAUCCUGAUCUCAUGCUUUAGUAUUCCUUCAAAAAUACAUAACAGAAGAACUCUGGAAUUGUUUAUCUGCAUUCAUGCAUUUGUUUCUUUUGAUUUUAUUUCAAUCAUUGUAUUAAUUAUAUUGUUAUUUAUAUUUAAUAUUAUCUUCUGCUGCUCAGACUUUGUUCUAGCUCUCUAUUUACAGUAUUCAAUGUUGUCCUGCCUCAUGUUUUGGAUUUCAACGUUCCAGAUGGAAAAUGUUUUAAUCGUUUUGAAUUUUCUCAGCACUAAAACAAACCCUCCCUGGACCACAGCUAAAUCUUUGCUCUGACCGAAUCGGUUGUUCUUCAGAACUCCGGUGGAACCGAUCAUACGUGUGGAGACAGGAUGGACACGUUUGGCUCCAGCUGCUGUAGAACAGAGUCUGCACCCUUUCACAAUAAAGUCGAUCUGUACUGAAAACGACUUACGCCGGCAGGAGGCGGAGCUUACCAUUUCCUGGAGGUCCUGCCGUCUUUCUGCCUCCCCCUGAGGAGCGCCGGCCCGGUCCACUCCUCUGAAGUUCUGCUGCUCCGGUCUGAAGAUCGCCCAUCCCGCCUGGUACCUGCAAACACAAACGCUUUUACUGUCUAACAACCAAAAAUAAAUACAAAUAUGGGAAGACUUUUA